AUCCACCAUUGCUCUAUUAUCCCUGCUGAUUAUUUUGUAUAACGCACAGAAAAUAUACAUAGCUAACCCAACCUUAUUCCCUCACAUUGCUACAAAACAUGAUGAUUCUAUUAUUAAAGAUAAGCAAAGAAAAUAAUGACGAAUAAACAAACGCCUUACCCGUUCUAGAGUUACUGGUAGACAAAAUAAUAAAGAACUACGCUUGAAAUGAACUCAUCUGGAGGCUAACCCUAAUCCCUCACAUUGCUACCAAACAUGAAGAAUCUAUUAUUAAAGAU